rnacentral:rRNA from 1 species
UACGGAGGGUGCGAGCGUUGUCCGGAAUCACUGGGCGUAAAGGGCGCGCAGGCGGCUCGGGAAGUCGGCGGUGAAAGCCCGGGGCUCAACUCCGGGUCGGCCGUCGAGACUCCACGGCUCGAGCUCACUAGAGGCAGAUGGAAUUCCGGGUGUAGCGGUGGAAUGCGUAGAGAUCCGGAAGAACACCGGUGGCGAAGGCGGUCUGCUGGGGUGAGGCUGACGCUGAGGCGCGACAGCGUGGGGAGCAAACAGG